UGUUACUAAAUGUGCAUGUUUACAUGUACAUUCAUUUCACAACAGACUAGUGGAGAUUUAACACAAUCCACAUGAAAUUAUACAAUAACAGGUCUGUUAUGCCCUUAGUUGUCUGAGGCUGCACGCGUGCGACAAUGGAAAUUGUAGUGCGCUAAUACAUGGAAACAUGUAUUUAAACGUGUCAAAUUAUUCCGCAGUUGGGAUCAUACAUUGUAAUUAUGUAUGUGAACAAGGAACUUCAAGUAAGUGUAUGUUACUAACGUACGCUG
rnacentral:rRNA from 1 species